GAUGAAGAACGCAGCGAAAUGCGAUAAGUAAUGUGAAUUGCAGAAUUCAGUGAAUCAUCGAGUCUUUGAACGCACAUUGCGCCCCCUGGUAUUCCGAGGGGCAUGCCUGUCCGAGCGUCAUUGCUGCCCUCAAGCACGGCUUGUGUGUUGGGCCUCCGUCCUCCUCCCGGGGGACGGGCCCGAAAGGCAGCGGCGGCACCGCGUCCGGUCCUCGAGCGUAUGGGGCUUCGUCACCCGCUCUUGUAGGCCCGGCCGGCGCUUGCCGACACAUCAAUCUUUUUUCCAGGUUGACCUCGGAUCAGGUAGGGAUACCCGCUGAACUUAAGCAUAUCAAUAAGCGGAGGA
rnacentral:misc_RNA from 1 species